rnacentral:rRNA from 1 species
UAUUGGACAAUGGGCGAAAGCCUGACCCAGCCAUGCCGCGUGUGUGAAGAAGGUCUUCGGAUUGUAAAGCACUUUAAGUUGGGAGGAAGGGCAUUAACCUAAUACGUUAGUGUUUUGACGUUACCGACAGAAUAAGCACCGGCUAACUCUGUGCCAGCAGCCGCGGUAAUACAGAGGGUGCAAGCGUUAAUCGGAAUUACUGGGCGUAGAGCGCGCGUAGGUGGUUUGUUAAGUUGGAUGUGAAAUCCCCGGGCUCAACCUGGGAACUGCAUUCAAAACUGACUGACUAGAGUAUGGUAGAGGGUGGUGGAAUUUCCUGUGUAGCGGUGAAAUGCGUAGAUAUAGGAAGGAACACCAGUGGCGAAGGCGACCACCUGGACUAAUACUGACACUGAGUGCGAA